rnacentral:rRNA from 1 species
GACGUAGGGGCCGAGCGUUGUCCGGAGUUACUGGGCGUAAAGGGCGCGCAGGCGGUUGGUCACAUCGGCGGUGAAAGCCCCCCGCUCAACGGGGGAGGGUCCGUCGAGAUGGGCCGACUGGAGGCAGGGAGAGGGCGGUGGAAUUCCGGGUGUAGUGGUGAAAUGCGUAGAUAUCCGGAGGAACACCAGUGGCGAAGGCGGC